CCGUAGCCCAAGAGAUCGGGAUAACACCUGGAAACAGAUGCUAAUACCGGAUAACAANAGAUGAUGCCUAUCAACUGUUUAAAAGAUGGUUCUGCUAUCACUCUUGGAUGGACCUGCGGUGCAUUAGCUAGUUGGUAGGGUAACGGCCUACCAAGGCGAUGAUGCAUAGCCGAGUUGAGAGACUGAUCGGCCACAUUGGGACUGAGACACGGCCCAAACUCCUACGGGAGGCAGCAGC
rnacentral:rRNA from 1 species